UCAGUCUGUGGCUCUCAGCCCAGAGGGCACUUUCUGGUGUAAGAAACGAAAGUGCCGUCAAGGCUGAGAGCCAAUGACUGA
rnacentral:pre_miRNA from 1 species